UAGGGAAUAUUGCAAAUGGGCGAAAGCCUGAUGUAGCAACGCCGCGUGUGCGAUGAAGGUCUUCGGAUUGUAAAGCACUUUUUGGAGGGAUGAGGAAGGACAGUACCUCCAGAAUAAGCCUCGGCUAACUACGUGCCAGCAGCCGCGGUAACACGUAGGAGGCAAGCGUUAUUCGGAUUUACUGGGCGUAAAGCGCGUGCAGGCGGUUUGGAAAGUUGGAUGUGAAAGCUCCUGGCUCAACUGGGAGAGGUCGUUCAAAACUUCCAGACUUGAGAGGGGUAGAGGGAGGUGGAAUGCCGGGUGUAGGGGUGGAAUGCGCAGAUAUCUGGAGGAACACCGGUGGCGAAGGCGGCCUCCUGGAGCAUUCCUGACACUCAGACGCGAAAGCUAGGGUAGCAAACGG
rnacentral:rRNA from 1 species